rnacentral:rRNA from 1 species
GAUGAACGCUAGCGACAGGCUUAACACAUGCAAGUCGAGGGGCAGCAGGGCUUUCGGGCCGCUGGCGACCGGCGCACGGGUGAGUAACACGUAUGCAACCUACCUAUAACACGGGGAUAGCCCGGAGAAAUUCGGAUUAAUACUCGAUAAUACAGGGGCACCGCAUGGUGAUAUUUGUUAAAGAUUUAUUGGUUAUAGAUGGGCCUGCGUUGGAUUAGCUAGUUGGUUGAGGUAACGGCUCACCAAGGCAACGAUCCAUAGGGGAACUGAGAGGUUUAUCCCCCACACUGGUACUGAGACACGGACCAGACUCCUACGGGAGGCAGCAGUGAGGAAUAUUGGUCAAUGGGCGAGAGCCUGAACCAGCCAAGUCGCGUGAAGGAUGAAGGUAUUAUGUAUUGUAAACUUCUUUUUUAGGGGAAUAAUAUCCCGGACGUGUCCGGGCUUGUAUGUACCCUACGAAUAAGCAUCGGCUAACUCCGUGCCAGCCGCCGCAGUAAUAC